ACUUAUGUGCUCGUCCACCUCAUUGGCGUGGCACAGUCACGAAGCUGCAACCGCUCCACCUUCCCGUGGAUCCUCCUUCAGCUGCUCUGACUCCUUGCCCAGGUACAUGUUUAAUUCUAUGAGGAAAGGCAGCCACUUCAUCAAGGUUGGAGGCAGGGAGAAUGACACAGAUUCCAGUCACUUCUGAUGGGCUCCAGAUCAUAUCUUCCUUUCUUGACCGCCUGCCCUGCAGACUUCAAGCUCCAACAUCACACACAAAGACAACAGCCUUACAGAGACUGCUGUACCAGCUCCCGCAACAGUAUACAGUCAAAUCUCCAUAAUGAAUGAUGCAUCGAUUAUACAUAUAUAACCCUACAUAAACACAUAUACACACACAUGCACACACACACACAUCUCCAUCCUAGGGAUCCUGCUUCUCCAGUAGAACUAUGACCGACACAACAUUAAACAAAAUAUGGCAAAAUAUCUGCAUUUAUUAAAUCUGGAAGUAAGUACAUGUGUGUUUGUGCUAUUACUCUGUAUUUUUCCAUCAGAAAUGUCUCAUAAUUUUAAAAGAAGUUUUAAAAGAAAAUGAAUAAAUACAAUAAAACAGAAUAAUGUUAAGUUCCAACUAGAUAAUGUUUGAAGCUCCUCUAAUUCUUUCAUUCUAGCUCAUUCCCUUUGUUAAAACAGAAAUAUAUGGAAAUGUUUUUCGAAGUGCUAACAGCAAAUGAGACUUUCUCCUUAGAUAAACAGGACUAAAGAAGGCUUGAGAAGGGCAUAACUCUCUCACUUUAUUAAUAAUUAAUGGUAUUUAAUACAAUUUCCAUAUAUCUACCAUGCAGGGUAUUCUGCAGAGAAUGCAGAAAGAGAGGAUUAGAAAUAACUGAUGGAUUACACAGAAUCAAAAAUAAAAGUGAAAAGAUAUCCCUAGAAAGAGGGCAGAAACAUGUCUUCCUCUUGGACAUGUUCCCUAACAGAAAAAGUAUUUAAGAUAGGUGAGGAUGAAAAAAAAUUUUGAAGUAAAAGGAAACGAUGUUUAGAAAAUUUACACCAACUAACCUCUAUUUUAUCCAUGAAGUUGGGACAAAAAGUAUCUAGGUAGAACUAGACAAAUGGAGUCAGGAGAAGUCUGGUCUUGAGAAGAGGGAUAAACAAUCACCUGGCAAGAAGUAAAGGUCAGAACAGAAGAAAGAACUAAUACCAUGGGCUGUGUGGGUUUGUAAACUUGAAAAAGAGGAAGCAUAACAUAUGCAACACAAGAGAACGGAAUAGCAAAUUACAGUAUGGCCAUAUAUUGAAAUACCAUGUUAUAGCCACUAAAAAAUACAUAGCUAUUCCUUUACGUGCAUAACAAGGCAUUCACAACAUUGCUGAGAGACAAAAAUCCACUUAAAAUACACAUUUCUGCAAAAAAGAUGGAUAUACAGUAUUUAUAUAAUAAAGAGUCUGGAAGGCUAUACACCAAAAUGUGAGCAUGCUUUACUUUAGGGUGGUAGAAUCACUAGUGAUUUGUAUUAAUUUCUAUAUUUUCUCUUUAUUCUACAAUCACCCUAUGCCAUUUGUUGAGUACUGUAUUGUGUCCGAUGAAGGCAGAUAUCAGUUCCUAUGAGUGUUUGGUCAAAGAAGUCAGAGAGGAGAGUCCUGAGCUGUGAGCAUCUUCGGAUUUGAGAGUCUUUUUCUUCUAAGGCAACUUCUACCUGUGGUGAUGAACUAAGCCAGUAUUCUGAAACCUAGGGUCAACACUGCCACAAGGCCAAUUAAUUGCCGGGCAUUGGGAAACUCUGAGAAAUCCUAAACUUGCAAAACAAAUUAAACUUUCGUGAUCCAGUCAUUUCCAAGCGCACAGUAGAGACUGAGGGGUCAUUUGCCUAAUAACAAUUGCCUAAUAAUGCCAUCUUGCAGCAGAGUAGCACAGCAUUCAAGCCUAGUGUUCUUUCUGCCAUAUUCACAUUGCCCGUCUUCGUGACUUUAAUGACUUUUUUUGUGCUAUCUUGGGAAAUAAUACCUUCACUGUCAAACAGCCAUGGAUGGCCUUGGAAGGCAUUCGGCGGGGGGGUUGGGUGCUGCAGAGGCAUCAGGCUAGUUGCUUCCCAUGGAAUGUCCUAAUUCUUGAGACAUCCAGGCCCAAAGGAGCUCCUUAACCCUUUUGGAGGCCUCCUGUAUCUCUACAACCUCCCUGGAUGAAAAUCUGUCUGACAGAUCAGCGAGUUUAUCUGCUUUACACUAGGGGGCAGUGUCUGUCUAUGGACAACAACAGUUUUCCUGAGGGUGUGGGGGCCAGUGUGGCCUUGGUGUCUUUGACCAAACUACUGUGUGUGUCUCUUUGCCCCACCCACCUAAACUGGUGAAAGGCAUAAGUUCCCAGAUCACCAUAAACCCUCAGGAGACCCAACCUCCAGGCCACUGUGUGAGGGCUGAUAGAAAUAAAAUUUGACAGUAGGAGCAGCAUAAAACUUGCUCAAACUGGCAGAGAGCCCUGGUAAAUGGCCACAUGUUUUGGAGUCAUGAGAGGGUCUUACUAAGACCAUAGGUUCUCACCAUGGCUGAAACCUCAGUGAUGGUGAGAACACCCUGGGGAUGACAGCUGGUCUUUACAACUGAACAAGGGCUUCACUAAUGCUUACGGUGUGAACUUCAUCACUUGCUUAUGCCAGGGAGGUUAGAAGAACCAGCUAUGAUCUCAGUCAUAUCUCACCAAACCUAAGAAUUUCUCGUGGAGGCAGGGACAUGGUGCCACGUAUAAGCAGACAGGGGAGGUAAGUUGUGAUAGCAUUCUACAUGAAGUUUAACAAAACAGGCUGAAUAAAACUCACUCUACCCCACCCUCCUGUGCUUAAAGGACCACAAUUCACAGCCAUAAUUGAUCAAAGGAAUAUUGAUUUUAAAAAAAGAAUGAACCGUUAUUCUCAUACAGCAAACUAUAGUAUUCUCUCCUAGAUAUGCAUAUCUUCUUCCCUUUACCAUCUUUUCACUUAAAAAUAUUUAAUAUGGAAAAGCAAAAACCAAGAUUCAUGAAACUACUAUCACAAUCAACAAAUGAUAACAGAUGCAAUCUCCUUUGUACCCUCCCCUAAGCCCACCCCUUCCCUUCCUUCCCAAGAGGCAACCAAUCUCAUUAAUUGGGUGUGGAUCUUUCUACUCCGUGUUCUUAUAUUUCUACACUGUUUAUAUAUAUUUAUGAAACAAAUAUAGUAUUGGUUUGUGUGUUUUUAAAAUUUGUAUUAAGAAUAUGUGUCACAUGGUAUGUACUGUUCUGCUUUUUUUCACUUAACAUUGUGUUUUAGAAAUUCCUCCAUACAGUCGUAUACAGAUCUAGUUCAUUUAUUUCAGAUGUUGUAUUCUAUUAGAUUUAUACCACAUCUUAUCCAGUCCUGUUUUGAAAGUCAGGUGGUUCUAACUUUUGUUAUCAUAGACAGUGUUGCAGUAAACAUCUUACACAUAUCUCCCUAUGCACAUGCUCAAGGGACGAUGUAGGAUAUGUACCUACGAGUUCAAUGCUAGGUUUUAAUUCUACUAGAUGGUGCCAACUUGUUCUCUAAAUGGGGUAUAGUUUCUAUUUCUCAUUUCAUCACACUCGUACUGUUAGAUUGUUUAAUGUUUGCUAAUAUGGUAAGUGUGAAAUGGUAUUUCAUAGCCAUUUUAAUAUGCCUGUCCCAGAUGACCACUGAACUUAAAACAUCUUUUCGUGUGUUAACCAUUACAGUUUCCUCUUCUGCAAUCAUUCCACUUUCUAAAAUGCCGUGAAAAGCUAUUUAUUGCAUGGAUUAUGUUAACAUACUGGUCAUUCCAGGAUCUAAAAAAUAAGGUUAUUAAGAGUUUAUAUAAAAAUAAUGCAUUCUUGAACACCAGAAUCUAACAUGAGAUUCAUAGCACAGCAUCACAAUUUUGCCGGCGAAUGCUUGUUAUAGAUUACAUGUUCCUGAUAGUAAAUGGGGGUUUUAAAUUCUGCACAAAUUAUACUACAAUGUAUGAUUCAUGAUUUUGAGAAAAAUGACAAAGCAGGAGCCUCUGGCUUAGAACAAAGAAGUAAGGUCCAUUUUCAUUUCACGUCUAAAGAAAUCAAGAAACAAUGAAUUGUAUUUCAACUUUCCUCCUCCAGAGAGCCUAGACAACAAGCAAACACAUACACAAACACAAAAUAGUGAUGAUGGCAGCAACUCGGAAUGACCAUCAGAAGAGAAACAGUAAUACACUAAAUAGAAUUAUUCCUAUUUAAAUAUCACGGCUAGCUCUGAUCCUAGGAACAGCAAGUACAUUUUGAUGGUAAGAAUGUUUCUAACUGUAAAGCUUAUUGCUUAUUCAUAAAUCAACCAUUUUUAUAUAGGCAAUCUUUUUCCCUUCACUUUUUAUUUACGUACAUUAAUACCACAUAUCACUAUUUUCAGGGCAUUUGCAUCUUAUGCUGAGGAAAAAUCUGCAAAAUCUGCAUCUGUUCUUUAGUUAUCUCCUAGUUGAACGCUAUUGAGAUUUCAAAAGUUGUGUUUGCGAGGAGUAUGAAGGCAAGUCUCCUAGCCAAAGGAAACUGGAUAGUGAGGUAACUUUUAAUGACGUACAUGAUGGUACCAAUAAUUCAAGAAAACAGUUAACCAAAAACCCUUUAGAAUUGGCAUUGCUAUGUGGUUUUGUCCUCCUAGUUUGAACAUGGAUGUGUUUGGAGUAAACGGAAAAUCAUUUUUAAAAAUAAUAAUAAUGGUCCCAGAAGAAGAAAAAUGUUAAAAGGCCUGUAAAGUUUCCACCUCUGUCCUUCUGGUUUUGUGCCUCUCAACUGGCGUUAAUCAUUACCAAAUAGCAGAUAGGGAGAAGGCUCCCACUGGAGCAGAGGCUCCCUCUCUCUGGUCUUCUUGCUGUGUUGUUGGUCUGCCCCUUGCUUGGGCAAUGGUACAAAAACUCCUUUGAUUUUAAAAGCAGACAAACCCCCUUUCAUUUAAGGUAACUGUGUAAAAAGGGCUUCUUACUCUGCUGGGGGAAGCAAAAUCUCACCCCCAAGAAUGAUGAAAUCACCUGUGAUACAACUGAGCAAUGGGACUCCACAGUACUCCUACCCCACAGACCAGCUGCCCUAACCCAAAACAUCUCCAACAACAGACCUGGUAGAGAGGUCUUUAGGGAUAUCCACUCUCAUACCCAGGAUAGCCCUGGGUGGCUCUACAACCACCUGGAUCGUGUAUCUCAAUGGGGUAACUGAGUCCUUAAAAACAUGUAGCAUGUGAAGGAUUCACUUUUGCCUAGGCUGGCAUCUCCUCCACCGGUAUAGGCACAGCUACAGGGCAUCUCCCCACCCACAGCUACGAGAUAAACAACCAGUCACUCAUCCCCAACACUCUGAGACCUGGUCCUUGUACAGCAAAUACUGACCAUAAAUCAGCCAAGGUCUAGUGAAUGGUCAUGGACAUGGAUUUGGAACUUUUUGAUAGCAAACUCUAACUGGGUCAACCAUAAAUAAGUCAGAGAAACUUAACAUGUCCUAAACCCAGAACACUGGCCUUUUUAGAACCUCACUCCACUGAAGACAAACUUACUCCAAGUUAGUGGAUACUUGGCUAGGCAAAUAAGAAAAUGAUAACAGGAAGUGAAGGGUAGGGAUAGAGAAUUGGGGAACUGGGAUUGUUCAAGAAAGGAAGUAGGUUCCUGGAAUUCAUGGCCGGAACAGAAAAUGGGUUUUCUCAAAGAAAGUUAUAAAUAAAGAUCAGGCAUCAUGGUUGCAAUUCUACUUUCUCUGUAUUAAAUACUCUUAUCUAGCUUGAACGUUUUUUCUCCCUGGGGAAAGCUUGUUUAAAGCUAGAACAACGAGCUUAAAAGAACUUCAGAAUAUUGCAUAUUCGUCAGCUGGGAACUGUUCUGCUAGACAAAGAACUGACUCCAUCAUUUGAACCGUUCGUUUCUGGCUGAUGAUGAAAUCAACUGAACUUCCAAACACUUUAAUCAAGAAGUCAACCCCUUCCUUCCCCCAUCUUCCUGUUGAACCACUGCCAUAUGCAAGCUUUAAGCAACUUGUGGACUGGUGGCUAUCUCCAUGACCACUCUGCACUUCCUGCAGAAUAACUAUCAUCACAUGUUAACUAAAUUACUUAACUGUCUGCCUGCCCCACCCGCAGCCACUGGAAUGCAAGCUCCGGAAGGCAGUGAAUGAUUUGUCCACCAUGGCAUCCCUAUGUUCAGCACAUCCUAGCCCGUAUUAAACGUGUUGACUGAAGGAAAGAGUAAAAUGGCUGGCUCACAGCAAAUACUAAGAAAGGAUUUGUGAAUGAAAUGCCUUUGGCAUAUUGAGAGAAGCGGACUAAUGUCAAAUGAGCCAUUUAAGUUGGUGAAGGACUAACCUUUGCCUGGCGCAGUUAAUCUGUAGUGACCUUUCGCAUAUGGAAUCGAUAUUUUCAGGCUGGGGUGUACAAGCAGGUUCUCAGAAUUCUUUAUAAUGAAGAAGUGAUUCCAUUUGAUAACCACACAUGGUAGAUGGCACUAUUCGGCUUACAGGAGUCUCAGCCCAAGGCUGGCGCAGGGCCGAACGAGCCAGCAGAACUUAAAUCAGAGGGAAAUAAAUUCUAGGCUUUGAAAGCCCCUGAAAGAGUAAGUCCCCUCAAGCCCAGGAAAAGAGGAAGAGGAUACCCAGCGCAGAGGGAGGCGAUCCUAGACACAACCUUUUGUCUGCAGGUUAUCAAGACUGUGUCCUAGAUUCCAAGGUGACAGUGCCACAGGUAGGGUAACAAUUCCCUUCAUAUUUGCAGCAUGUUACAGGCAACAGCGUAGGGCAGGUAACACAAUUUUGCAUCCCUCUUUAACCAGCAUAGCAGCUGAGGAACCUCCCCCAACACGCUCCUUCCAGCACUCAAGGCGGCGGGGUGGAGGGCCCGGCUGAACCCAAGAGACUCUGAGGCCGGCCGGCGACCUUGACGCUGCGGGCCGGGCCCAGGCCACCGCGCGGCGCCUCGCCCCUGCCCCACCCCGACGCUCGCCACACCUCGGUGUUUGCAGAGCCUCGGCUUCGGCCCCGGCGGUCCGGGAGCGGACGCCUAGCCCUGGGCCGGGCGGCCCUGAAGAGGGAAGUGCGGCUGCGGGGCCGCGGGGACUUACCUGCAGCAGCACGGCCAGCAGGAAGCACAAGUACAUCUGUGUCCUAGUGACCAGUUUUCUAUUUCUUCAUCUUCCUUCCAUGGUGGAGACAUGCCCAUUGAGGAUAAAAUAAGAACUAAGGCAGAAUGUCAGCAAAGAAAUUCUUUUGAAAGACAAUAGAUUGGAUGCAACUCUUCUCUGAUCCUUUGCUCCAGUAAAUGAAAUUCACAGUUGCCCUUAAAAAUAUUUUCUCUUUCAUCAUAUCCCUAUGGAGAUUCAAAGGAAACUUUGAAAUGAUACCUUGUCAAUGAGCUCACAAUCUAUGUUUCUUCUCACAUUUUGCACCUCUCCCCCCACCCCCCACUCUUCUAUACCUAUCAGCCAAAACUUACCAUAAUUAGGCUAGACAAAUUUGUUACCAGGGAUCUCCUUUAUGCAUUCAUUCAUUCAUUUUUUCAAUGAAUAUUGAUAAGGCUGAACCAAGGUACGGAGCACCUCCUGCUGUAUAAGGUACUUUGGGAUGCAAAUAUGUAUAAUUAGAAGUUUCAAGGGAUUUACAGUCUACCAAGAAAAUAAAGCAUGUGCCCAAUAAGGCCGCUUUGAAGAAUUAUGUGAUAAAAGCAAUGAGAGUUGUAGAUCUCAUGUGCUUGCUGCAAAUAACUUUGAGCAAUCUUGUGAAAACAUUAUGCCUCAAUCUCUUUCUUAAUAUAGCAGAGUCCUAGUACAUCGGAGAACAGAAUAUGAUUGGUGAUUUAUUACUUUUCAGUUUUUACAAGUUUAAAGUGGCUAAUAUGACAAAUACCGAAGAACGGUCCCACCUUUCCCAGAGUAGGGAGAGACCUUACUUUAGUCUGUGGAUGUUUACUUGCUGAUUGUCAAUGAGAAUGACCCAAUGACAUUCACUUGAAGUGUUCAGCGGGGAGCUCUGGACUAUAUUUUUCAGUUCUGUUAUGAUUCUUGCUUGUCUGUAGCCUUAUUUCUUUUGGUCAAUACCUGUGCUAAAUGUUCGGGUUGGCGGAAAAUACUGUUAAGUUCAGAUUCAUUAAAAUUCAUGGCAAAAAUGAAAGAAAGUCCUUAAUCAAAGGCACAAGAUAGAUUUUGCAAAGAAAUUACGGCCAGAGAAUUAAUCUAAAAUGUGCUUUGGUUUGGGCUUCUGUACAAGCACGUCUUGGCGGCAGGUCUGGACUCGAGGUUGUGGGAGCUGCAGGAGUGGAAAAUGGAAAUGGCUCAUCUGCACCUGCCCUUUCUCCAGAGAUUUGUCUCAUCAUCCUCUCCCAUGACACACAGGGCCAGUCCACACUCAGAGAGAAGUCUGCAGACCGUCCUUCCUUGAUGCCCAAGCCCCAGCAGGAUGGUGCUCCAAGUCACUGUCACUAAAUUGUAUAUGGUGUUUUAUAGAAUGUAUUUCUGUGGUAUGUGUGAAUUCCAAUUGUUUGCUCUAGAACAGCACUGUUCAAUAGAACAUUCUGCAGUGACAAAAAUAUUCUGUAAAUCUCCAUGGUCCGAUACAAUAGCCACUAACCACAUGGCUAUUGAGGAUUUAAAAUAUGGAACUGGAUUUUUAAUUUUAUUUAAUUUUGAUUACAUAAUUUUAAUUUAAAUAGCCACAUAUGUCUAGUAGCUUACCAUAAUGGACAGUGCAGUCCUAGAAAAUAACUUCAUCCAUUUUGAUUUUAUAAAUGGAAAUGGAAAAUAACCACCCUAUGAUAAUGACACAGUUCUGACUUAGGUGCAUGAAUUAAUUCUCUUAAUUUUGACAUAAAUAUAAUGAAUGAAAUUUCAACCCUUCUGCUAUUGAUGAAAAAGUAAGGCUUUAACUUCAGUUGUCUAGAUUGAAUAUAUAACUGACCAACUGCUCACUUUGAAUUUUUUUCCAUUUAUUAUACAUCUUGCAUCCCACACCUAGCCAUAGAUAGGUAAGAUUAAAUUAGUCUUCUAUCUUAGGAACACAUAAUAGGACCUUCUAAUAAAGACACAAAAUUACAAAAACAUAAAUAAAAUAAAUGCAAAUAAUAUUAAUAAAUUCUGUAGAUAAUUCAAAAUGCUGUUUGAAUGAGACUUCUGAACAACUUGGUGGCAUGGCUACACUGGAGCUAAAUUUGCUAUUAUUUGAAAAUUCUGAAAUCAAGUACUAUAAAUGAUGUGUUCUAAUAAGAAAUAAUCACCCCUUGAGAGUAUGGUAACGUGUAUGAGACUAAGCACAACUAAUACAAAACAGCAUAUAACCUGAAUUUUAUGUAUAGCUCAUUUCUGGGAGGAAGAGUUCCCAAUGUUUGCACCAGAAUUAGAAGCAACCAGAGACUCAAUUGGUCUGAUGCUAAUAACUAUGCAGGAGCUUUCCUAAGAUGCUGAAUGUGCACUUCUGAGCCCCCUUCUACUCACCAGUCUGUGUUGAUGAGCCCAGAUACAUACAACUGACUAGAAUUUCAUCACUUUUAAACAUGCACUAUUGAGUUGAUGCCACAUCCAUGAAUAUGAUUGAUUUAGACAAGACUGAAAAAUAUAGCGUUUUAGAUAACCAGGGGGUUCAGCCGAAUUCUAAGGAGGGGUUUGAGAGCACCUGCUCCUCUAGUUGCAUUAAUACGGCUCCUGGAGGCCAGGCAUGGUGGCUCACACCUGUAAUCCUAGCACUUUGGGAGGCCA